CUCCAUCAACGUGCCAUGUGGUCCCUGCUUGGAGAUUUCCUGAUCUGGUACCAUAGGGUGGCCUGGGGACUCCGAAGGAUAACACUCUUAUAGGAUAUACACCAUUUCCAGCUGAGCUCCGCGCUGAUGGGCUGUUUAUCUUCGCCACCACAACAGCGGCAGCCUCAGCAGCUGAGGAAGCGGCGAGCCGUUUUCUGCCUCGGCUCCUGCCGAGAGGGCAGAAUUAAGACAAACACUUUCAUUCUUGGCUGCCAAAGCGUUUUAGCUUCUGAAAAGCAAGGCAGGCUCACUAAUGCAGCUGGAAUGAAUUUGUUCGCUUGCAAAAAAUCAAUGUUUCUUCCAAAUACAUGGCGUUGGGAUGCUGAUGAGAGAGAGCCUGAAUGGACAGCAAAGGGACUCAGCCAUGCAUAUACUCAAGGGACUUUAAAAACACUGAAACUGGAGCUUCAUCAGCUUGUUUUCCUUUCCCUUAGAGUUUUUUCCCCCAAUAACAACCUAUUCCUACACUUCAAAGUAAGGACACUGGAUAAAGAGGAAAAGUUGGAAGAGGACACCUGCAAACCUCAGACCAAUCUAAACAGAGUCACAGUAGUUGGUCAGGAUCUUAGGGAGACUGUAUGAACAGGAGAUGUUAGCUGAUAAGAAAAAGGACUUCAUCCUCAAAUGUCUUCUUCACCUUACUCUUGUUCAGUCUCCAUUUCUCAUUUUUGUUCAUGGCAGGAGGUAUGUGUAUCUUAUAUUAAAGAAAC
rnacentral:lncRNA from 1 species